rnacentral:rRNA from 1 species
GUUUGAUCAUGGCUCAGGAUGAACGCUAGCGGCAGGCUUAACACAUGCAAGUCGAGGGGUAUAGGUUUUCGGACCUAGAGACCGGCGCACGGGUGCGUAACGCGUAUGCAAUCUACCUUUUACAGAGGGAUAGCCCAGAGAAAUUUGGAUUAAUACCUCAUAGUAUUAUUGAAUGGCAUCAUUUAAUAAUUAAAGUCACAACGGUAAAAGAUGAGCAUGCGUCCCAUUAGCUAGUUGGUAAGGUAACGGCUUACCAAGGCAACGAUGGGUAGGGGUCCUGAGAGGGAGAUCCCCCACACUGGUACUGAGACACGGACCAGACUCCUACGGGAGGCAGCAGUGAGGAAUAUUGGUCAAUGGGCGCAAGCCUGAACCAGCCAUGCCGCGUGCAGGAUGACGGUCCUAUGGAUUGUAAACUGCUUUUGUUCAGGAAGAAACAGUUCUACGUGUUAGAACCUUGACGGUACUGUUAGAAUAAGGAUCGGCUAACUCCGUGCCAGCAGCCCCGGGUAAUACGGAGGAUCCAAGCGUUAUCCGGAAUCAUUGGGUUUAAAGGGUCCGUUAGGCCGUUUUGUUAAUUCA